ensembl:vault_RNA Vault Vault RNA
GGGCCGGCUUUAGCUCAGCAGUUACUUCGACAGUGCUUUCUAUACAACCACUCUGUGUGGUUCGAGACCCGUGGGCUCUCCCCGGUCUUUAA